rnacentral:rRNA from 1 species
AGAGUUUGAUCCUGGCUCAGAACGAACGCUGGCGGCGCGCCUAAUACAUGCAAGUCGAGCGAGAAGGUGUAGCAAUACACUUGUAAAGCGGCGAACGGGUGAGGAAUACAUGGGUAAUCUACCAUCGAGUGGGGAAUAACCAGCCGAAAGGUUGGCUAAUACCGCGUACGCCUCCGGAUCUUCGGGUUCGGAGGGAAAGCCACACUGUGAGUGCGGCGCUCUUUGAUGAGCUCAUGUCCUAUCAGCUUGUUGGUAGGGUAACGGCCUACCAAGGCUUUGACGGGUAGCUGGUCUGAGAGGACGAUCAGCCACACUGGCACUGCGACACGGGCCAGACUCCUACGGGAGGCAGCAGUAAGGAAUAUUGCGCAAUGGGCGAAAGCCUGACGCAGCGACGCCGCGUGGGGGAUGAAGGUCUUCGGAUUGUAAACCCCUUUCGGGAGGGAAGAUGGAGCGAGCAAUCGUUCGGACGGUACCUCCAGAAGCAGCCACGGCCAACUUCGUGCCAGCAGCCGCGGUAAUACGAAGGUGGCAAGCGUUGUUCGGAUUCACUGGGCGUACAGGGUGUGUAGGCGGUUUGGUAAGCCUUCUGUUAAAGCUUCGGGCCCAACCCGGAAAGCGCAGAGGGUACUGCCAGGCUAGAGGGUGGGAGAGGAGCGCGGAAUUCCCGGUGUAGCGGUGAAAUGCGUAGAGAUCGGGAGGAAGGCCGGUGGCGAAGGCGGCGCUCUGGAACAUACCUGACGCUGAGACACGAAAGCGUGGGGAGCAAACAGGAUUAGAUACCCUGGUAGUCCACGCCCUAAACGAUGUCAACUGGUUGUUGGGAAUUCACUUUCUCAGUAACGAAGCUAACGCGUGAAGUUGACCGCCUGGGGAGUACGGCCGCAAGGUUGAAACUCAAAGGAAUUGACGGGGGCCCGCACAAGCGGUGGAGCAUGUGGUUUAAUUCGA